GCGAGAGUUGUCUUUUCUCGUUAACGCCUUUGGUCGACCCUGGAAUCGGCUUGUCUGGCGAUAGGGUGGACUGGGCGGGAAAGCGGGGCACCUUUUGCCCCGUC
rnacentral:ncRNA from 1 species